UACGUAGGGUGCGAGCGUUAAUCGGAAUUACUGGGCGUAAAGCGUGCGCAGGCGGUUUCGUAAGACAGACGUGAAAUCCCCGGGCUCAACCUGGGAACUGCGUUUGUGACUGCGAGACUAGAGUAUGGCAGAGGGGGGUGGAAUUCCACGUGUAGCAGUGAAAUGCGUAGAGAUGUGGAGGAACACCGAUGGCGAAGGCAGCCCCCUGGGCCAAUACUGACGCUCAUGCACGAAAGCGUGGGGAGCAAACAGG
rnacentral:rRNA from 1 species